rnacentral:lncRNA from 1 species
UGUAUUGGUUCCUUUCAACUUAGGUCAUCUCCAACCGACCAAGCCAAAUGGACAUAGGGCUAAAAAUAGCUCGAAAUGACACAAAAACAGUCUCCAACUGAGGGUUGGGCCAAAGUGCUUGUGUGGGCCAAAGUGCUUGUGGGCCCUCUGGGCCAAAACUCCCAAAUUAGGCCAGCGGGUUGGCCAUUUCCAGCCAGCUAUCUAGCCUUCUAGCGUCAGAAUGUCAAGAUUGACUUUGUGGCAGGUGCAAGAAUACCACGCUUUCUUCGUUAUUGUGGCAAGUGGCACUCAAAAUAUGUCCGAAACCUUAUUUUAAUAUGAUAGUUUAAUUUAAUUAACCAUAUUAAUUCCAUUAAAAUAAUAAAUUAUUGAGGGAGUUAUGUUUAGCUUAUGGCCCUUUGGUCUCCUCUAUUAGAGAUGGGUUUUUUGUCGAAAGGUUAUAUU